UACGUAGGGUGCAAGCGUUGUCCGGAAUUAUUGGGCGUAAAGAGCUCGUAGGCGGCCUGUCGCGUCGGCUGUGAAAACCUGGGGCUCAACCCCGGGCCUGCAGCCGAUACGGGCAGGCUAGAGUUCGGUAGGGGAGACUGGAAUUCCUGGUGUAGCGGUGAAAUGCGCAGAUAUCAGGAGGAACACCGGUGGCGAAGGCGGGUCUCUGGGCCGAUAUUGACGCUGAGGAGCGAAAGCGUGGGGAGCAAACAGG
rnacentral:rRNA from 1 species